rnacentral:rRNA from 1 species
UACGGAGGGUGCAAGCGUUAUCCGGAUUUACUGGGUUUAAAGGGUGUGUAGGCGGGCUAUUAAGUCAGGGGUGAAAUCUCCGGGCUCAACCCGGAAACUGCCAUUGAUACUAUUAGUCUUGAAUUUUGUUGAGGUAGGCGGAAUAAGUCAUGUAGCGGUGAAAUGCAUAGAUAUGACUUAGAACACCAAUUGCGAAGGCAGCUUGCUAAACAAAUAUUGACGCUGAGGCACGAAAGCGUGGGGAUCAAACAGG